rnacentral:lncRNA from 1 species
CAGACAGGAACUGACAGGUGGCGUUACUGACGUUGGAACAGCCUUUCAGCACGAGACUCUUAGACUCAAUGUCUGUGAAUGCAAAGGAGACAGGAGGGACGCCACUCAGUCCUUUGUCCUUCCACCCACGCCUGCUCUUAGUUCUUCACCUGCAGCACGGUGGCCCGGUGACCAGCAAGAGCUGGUGUGCUCCUGAAGCCCAGGCAGGAAGAAGGAGCCUGCGUGUUCAGAGUCAAGAACACCACGCGGUAAUGGUAGAGAGACCCUGGAGGUCAGAGGCCUAGACUCCCACCGCCACCUGACCCUGGAGGAAGCAGACUCCUGGAGGUGAGUGGCAAGCCCAGGCUAAACAGUGAAGGUCAGAGCUGGACCUGGGACUCACAUCUCCCGUGUUCCUGUGUAGCUGGAAGAUGCAAAGGAUACAGCACAGAGCUGCCAAGACCCGGUGAGUGGGGGCCAGAGCUACAAGACAGAAGGAGCGCAUGGCCUGGACUCUGCAAUGAACUGCUCCAGCAAGGAAUAAACAUCUAUUGUAUUGAGCCAUAGGCUUUGGAGGUUGUUCUUUAACUUUUUAACUAGUUAAGGUUUCUAAAUUUUCUUAGCUUUAAUUUCUAAGACAGUGUAUACUGAUAGAUGGAGUCCACAUAAACAAAAGUUCUUUGGGGUCCUCAAUAAUUUUUAAGACAUAGAGUCUUAACAGAGGGCCUGAGAUCACAAGGUUUGAGAACUACUGAUGGCCACUAAUGUCCCUCUCACACAACCUGAAUCACUAAGAAAGAGGGGAGGCAUAGUGAAGUGCUGGUUUUCCCCAUUUGUUUCCUGUGUAAUUGCUGUAAGUCACAUGUUAAUGCCAUCCAGAUACUCACUGAAGUGCCUGGGCUUGAGAUGUCCACCCAAGGGAAAGGAGAACAGGUGAAAAAGGAAGAGCCAGGGCUGGGAGGACACAAGAAGCCCGCCUGCAUGGCCAGCACCCACCCAGGGCAUCACUGGUAUUGUUAACAGCAAUUAACUUACCUUAACUAAUAAAUGUAUUAACCUUUAACUGUUUGGGCAAAUGUUAGAAAUGUGUAUUUUACAAUGGUU